UUGCGGCCAUUGCACGUUGAAACACUGAUCCGCAUAUGAUCACCAAAGUUCAGCAUCAUUGAGACUGGUCGGUACCUAGAUGGGUGACCACUUAGGAAUACUAGGAAC